UACAGAGGCCUCGAGCGUUAGGCGGAAUCACUGGGCUUAAAGCGUGUGUAGGCGGAUCGUUAAGUGCCUUGUGAAAUCCCACGGCUUAACUGUGGAACGGCUGGGCAUACUGGCGGUCUUGAGCCAUCUAGGGGCGACUGGAACAAACGGUGGAGCGGUGAAAUGCGUAGAUAUCGUUUGGAACGCCAAUGGUGAAAACAGGUCGCUGGGGAUGAGCUGACGCUGAGACACGAAAGCCAGGGGAGCAAACGGG
rnacentral:rRNA from 1 species